CUUGGUGGGGGUUUUAUUCUUGUUAUGAUUUCGUGUUCCAUGUUUUAUUACGAAUCUGUGUGCUUUCCUCUAUUUUCUAAUACUUAUGGGUGCCGUAUUUAUGUUAUGUAAUCUAGUUCUGUGCUUUACUAUGAGUUUGUGUGGUAUCUCGUGACUUGAGCCGGGGAUCUAUCGGAAAUAACUUUCUACUUCUUUAGAGGUAGAGGUAUGGACUGCGUACAUCUUACCCCC
rnacentral:lncRNA from 1 species